CCGGUAAACGGCGGCCGUAACUAUAACGGUCCUAAGGUAGCGAAAUUCCUUGUCGGGUAAGUUCCGACCUGCACGAAUGGCGUAAUGAUGGCCAGGCUGUCUCCACCCGAGACUCAGUGAAAUUGAACUCGCUGUGAAGAUGCAGUGUACCCGCGGCAAGACGGAAAGACCCCGUGAACCUUUACUAUAGCUUGACACUGAACAUUGAGCCUUGAUGUGUAGGAUAGGUGGGAGGCUUUGAAGUGUGGACGCCAGUCUGCAUGGAGCCGACCUUGAAAUACCACCCUUUAAUGUUUGAUGUUCUAACGUUGACCCGUAAUCCGGGUUGCGGACAGUGUCUGGUGGGUAGUUUGACUGGGGCGGUCUCCUCCUAAAGAGUAACGGAGGAGCACGAAGGUUGGCUAAUCCUGGUCGGACAUCAGGAGGUUAGUGCAAUGGCAUAAGCCAGCUUGACUGCGAGCGUGACGGCGCGAGCAGGUGCGAAAGCAGGUCAUAGUGAUCCGGUGGUUCUGAAUGGAAGGGCCAUCGCUCAACGGAUAAAAGGUACUCCGGGGAUAACAGGCUGAUACCGCCCAAGAGUUCAUAUCGACGGCGGUGUUUGGCACCUCGAUGUCGGCUCAUCACAUCCUGGGGCUGAAGUAGGUCCCAAGGGUAUGGCUGUUCGCCAUUUAAAGUGGUACGCGAGCUGGGUUUAGAACGUCGUGAGACAGUUC
rnacentral:rRNA from 1 species